rnacentral:sRNA from 1 species
GUUAGGUCUACCCCAGGACAUACUCCCAUCAGACUUUCCCUCUCCAAAACCCUCUAUGUCCACCCUUCCCAAUGUGGGUGGUGCCAACCACAAACUCAGUCCUACAGGAAUUCAUCCCUGGCCCUAAAUGUUCUGGUGGAAAGAUCUUUGCCCCAUCCACCCUGGUCAAGUUCCUUUCCUCGCCCCAGACUCUGCAAGUUCUUGUAAAUAGCCCUGCCCCUGCACUGGUGUUAGUGGUGAGAAAGCAGCCCCUGGGCCUGUCUUGAGCAGGUUCUUCGGUGGCCUGUGUCUGGAUAUCAAGAGGAAGUUGCCCUGGUUCCCAAGUGACUUCUAUGAUGGCUUCCACAUUCAGUCCAUCUCUGCCAUCCUAUUCAUCUACCUCGGCUGUAUCACCAACGCGAUCACCUUUGGUGGGCUUCUGGGGGAUGCCACCGACAAUUAUCAGGGAGUGAUGGAGAGCUUCCUGGGCACUGCCAUGGCUGGCUCCUUGUUCUGCCUCUUCUCGGGACAGCCUCUCAUCAUUCUCAGCAGCACGGGGCCCAUCCUCAUCUUUGAGAAGCUCCUCUUCGACUUCAGC